AAUAAGGUGCCUGAUUAAAGGGUUACUUUGAUAGAGUAAAUAAUGUGAUUAUUCACCCUUGUUA
rnacentral:tRNA from 1 species